AGUAAGCUGUGAGGCCGGCCUCGCCAGGAGCUGCGGAUGCCGCAGGAUCACAGAAUUAUCUGUGUUGGGAAAGAGCUCAAAGAUCAGCCAGCCCGGCUGUUGGGCCAGCACUGCCAAACCCGCCAGUAAAACCACAUUCCCAAGUGCUGCGUACUUCUGACUGUAACAUCCUCCCCUGUCACCUGUGACUCAGUGUCUGCGACCUGCAGUACUCCAACCAUUUCAAGAUUUAUAGCUAUUAUCUCUCUUCUUUAAAUGCUUAUUCCUAGUAAGGAUAGCUGUUAAAGUGUACAUACACUUGAGACACACUUAAAGCACUACACAAGGUUUUGUUGUUGCUCAUCCUCUCAUCCCUCUUUAUUUCCUCAACCGUCUCUACCCUACUCUACAUAUCACAGCUAGCCACCACUUUCUUCACAGAGUUUCUUUCUACUCAUGCCUGAAGAAUCUGCAAGAAUGUGAAAGAAAACAACACUUACACCUCCUGCCACUUCAGACCCUCCUCUACAGAGCACCUGUUGUCCUCCUGACUAGAAUGCUGAAUGCAUGGCUGGUGACUUACAUCUAUAUUUCCCCAGAGCUCUGGUUGUUAUCUUGUCAGAUCACAUCUUACAAGUAUUCUCUGGUUAAAUUCACUGCUAGGCUGUUAUCAAGAUGUUAACAACAUCUGAAUGUUGUUACCUGGUUUACAGAAGUUUCCUUACAUCUUAUAAUAGUAAACCUCUUCCAACGGGGAACAUUCAGUGUUUGGAAAGAUUAUGAAGCGUUCCUCUGUAGGUCAAAGUCUUCAGAAUAUUUGUCUGCAGAUAUAAAUUAUCAAUUAUCAUUGGGCACGCUUAGGACUUAAGCCCAAGCUGGAGACAUCAGCCCUGCUGCCUAUUCAGAACACACUUGUGGCACUAGUACUGGCAUGAGUUAAUCAAAAAUCCAUCCUGACUCAGUGCAGAUUAAGCAACACAUUGGAAAUAAUAGUAAUAAACCAAAUGAAUUCACAACCUUCAACUUUUACAUCACGUGAAUCAGCUGCACACAAACAUAAUUUUAAUCAACGUGAAUGUAUCACCUUCUCAGGCAAUAAGAAAAGCAGAGAUUUUUAAGAGACUUUAUUAAUUACCAGUUUACACUUGUUUUACUCAACUUGUUCAGCCUUCAAAACAUGUUACAAAUCCCUUCAAUGGAAAAUCCAGAUUUUGCAGGGUGGUGAAGAAGACAGAAGAAGGAAAGAGAACUUGCUGCUUGUUCCACUGACCUAUUUACAAAGUCCCUCAGGUCUGCUGCAUCAGCAGUUACUUCUAAGAAUGCUGUGACUGCCAGGCUGAGUGGUGAGAAUAUUAAAUUCUGUCACAAGGGCCACACAGCUUCAUUAACUACCACUGAAAACUUUACCCAAGGUGUCUUUUCAGUUUACAGGUGCCCUCCCCAGGGUCCAGGCCCUGCUCUGCCAUGCUACACAUCUUGCUGCUUAGCUUGGCAGGUUCUGGCUGCAAUUCUCUGUCUGCAAGCAGAAAAAGGGAGAGAUGCAUAUCUAGCUGUAGACAAAAAAUUAGACUUUCUGUACAAAGCCUUUAGAUCCCUAUUCAUACUUAAAGUAGAAGAAAUUUUAAGCUAUAAUUGACAGACAUUAUUUUUGCUAUUAUAGCUCUCAUUGUAAGGAAAUUUAAAUAAUGAAGCUAGAGAAUAUCUGCCCCAAUAACUAUAACACAGCAAGAUUAACUCACUCCCUCAAAACUCAUUGGAAGAAAACAUUUGGGGCUUUAGGUCUGAUUUUUUUUAAUUCAAAAAAGAGGCAGGCUCAGCAGGAAGAGGCAGGGU